GCCAGUGUGGUGGAGUGGUUUCAGUGAUGACAUCGACUCUAGAGACCAGGGUUCAAAUCCCUGCUUGAGCA